CCUACGGGAGGCAGCAGUGGGGAAUAUUGCACAAUGGGCGCAAGCCUGAUGCAGCGACGCCGCGUGCGGGAUGGAGGCCUUCGGGUUGUAAACCGCUUUUGUUCAAGGGCAAGGCACGGUCUUUGGCCGUGUUGAGUGGAUUGUUCGAAUAAGCACCGGCUAACUACGUGCCAGCAGCCGCGGUAAU
rnacentral:rRNA from 1 species